rnacentral:rRNA from 1 species
UACGUAGGGUGCAAGCGUUAUCCGGAAUUAUUGGGCGUAAAGAGCUCGUAGGCGGUUUGUCGCGUCUGCUGUGAAAACUGGAGGCUCAACCUCCAGCCUGCAGUGGGUACGGGCAGACUAGAGUGCGGUAGGGGAGAUUGGAAUUCCUGGUGUAGCGGUGAAAUGCGCAGAUAUCAGGAAGAACACCCGUGGCGAAGGCGGCUCUCUGGGACGGUACUGACGCUGAGACGCGAAAGCAUGGGUAGCGAACAGGG